UGGGGAAUUUUGGACAAUGGGCGCAAGCCUGAUCCAGCAAUGCCGCGUGCAGGAUGAAGGCCUUCGGGUUGUAAACUGCUUUUGUACGGAACGAAAAGGCUCUGGCUAAUACCUGGGGCACAUGACGGUACCGUAAGAAUAAGCACCGGCUAACUACGUGCCAGCAGCCGCGGUAAUACGUAGGGUGCGAGCGUUAAUCGGAAUUACUGGGCGUAAAGCGUGCGCAGGCGGUUUUGUAAGACAGAGGUGAAAUCCCCGGGCCCAACCUGGGAACUGCCUUUGUGACUGCAAGGCUGGAGUGCGGCAGAGGGGGAUGGAAUUCCGCGUGUAGCAGUGAAAUGCGUAGAUAUGCGGAGGAACACCGAUGGCGAAGGCAAUCCCCUGGGCCAAUACUGACGCUCAUGCACGAAAGCGUGGGGAGCAAACAGGAUUAGAUACCCUGGUAGUCCACGCCCUAAACGAUGUCAACUAGUUGUUGGGGAUUCAUUUCCUUAGUAACGUAGCUAACGCGUGAAGUUGACCGCCUGGGGAGUACGGUCGCAAGAUUAAAACUCAAAUGAAUUGACGGGGUCAUAGCUGUUUCCU
rnacentral:rRNA from 1 species